UGAAGUCAGAGAUAGAGGCAGCUACGGGACUAUAUCCCAUAUCCUCAGUGACCGGUGCUUACAAAGCGCUUAUUAAUAAAAGGAAAACCUUGUUGAGUUCGAUUUCUUAUUCGCAUAUUACGGAAAAGAAGUAGCCCCACUUGAAAGUUACUACUGCCCAUUCAAUAUCACAAUCUAUAGUCUAGUUACAGAUCGAGAUGAAUAUGCUUCUAUAACCCUUAGAUCCAUGGGCUCGAAGUAAGACAAUCGUAGGACUGCUUGCUUCUCUUGCCACUUCAGCCUUAAGUCAAAUGCUUCUUCACUAUCCACAGCCACUUCUGAUCUUUCUUGAGUCAAUCCGUUAUAGGCCUCUGGAAUAAUAUCCGAUCCUAGUUAGCCCAUAGAAAAAAGAGCUUAACUCAGACACUUGGGUCCAAUCCACAAUGGCCUUAACUUCCUUCCCAGCCAUUCUGAACCUGUUGCUCAAGGCCUGUCGGGCAAAGUCACUGAUUAUUUGUUACAUAUAGAUUGUGCUCCCUUAACCGAGCUUUCCUAAGGUGGUACAAGUAAUCCUAUAGGGAACUAACUAUAGACAAGAAUGUAAUAAAGAUAGACAAACAAUAAGAAAGCGAUCAAUAAAGUGAGAAGUUCUAAAGGACAGCACUCAUCAAAUGUUAGAAAGAAGGUAAGGCCGGCCGCAUAAAAUGUUAGAAGGUAGGCCAGGCCGUUCUAAGCCCCAAUGGCAUGACACAGAACUCUAAAGCCAUAUCUGGUAAGAGAAGUGGUUUUAGGCUCGUCUCCCUGCUUCCGCAAUUCACACUUUCCUAUAUCAAUUCUAUAUAAGGUCGAAUGUGAAGAAAGAGGCUUUGGACAAUCGGUCGAAGAGAUCAGCUACCAAAGUGAGAGGAGACCCGAUUAUUCAUUCGAAUCUUGUUCUGUGCAUGAGAGUCCACACACAUGUGCUAAGAGCCAUCUUCCUUCUUUCUAGAGCUGCACAGGGCCGGUGCCUUGGAAGGCCUGCAUCUAGCAAGCAUUAUAGCACAACUGCUUCCGUCGAACAAGCUGAGAACAAGCAACUCCAUUGAGCCCCUAACUGAGUUGUUUGUAAGUGGUAAAGAACAAGUACUGUUUUCGUCCAAGGAGCAGUCAUCGUAAGAUCCAACUCAACUUAUAAGUAGGUAGGUCAAGUCCGUAGGUAGGUCGAUAAUAUUAGGUAGGUCAAGUCCGUAGGUAGGUCGAUAAUAUUCUUUUCGUUUUUCUCUUUUGUUCGGUUCUCAACACAUAGAGAUCAAAUCCGUAUCAACAUCUUCCACUAACAGAAAGGAUUUAUCCCAACUUGCUGUUGGUAGACAAAGAACUGCUAACCUACUUCAUUUCUAUCUAUCUAGUCAAUUCCUCCAGCCUACUAGAUCCCGAGCUAGUCAAUUCCUCCAGCCUACUAGAUCCCGAGAGUGAAUAGCAUAAUCAAUAAGGUUAUAUGAUUUAUCCGCAAGGGCGAAUCAAUGCAAUUAGACAGGAAGAAGGCUAGCUUGAAAACAGUAGCACUGGUAUAGGACUUAAAAAGAAAGACCACUCUAUCUAGUAUAUAUUCUCGCCCACACAUAUCCAUGAAAUGAAUGGAACUGAGAAAGACGAGAGUGAAAGAGCGGGAUCACUAAUGAGUAUAUGGACAG
rnacentral:lncRNA from 1 species